rnacentral:lncRNA from 1 species
CGCUGCCUGUCUGUCUCGUCCCGACUCCCGACACAUUCAUUACUAUGGGACAGCUGGAGAUUGAAUUUGAAUAUGUAAACAAUGUUGCAAAUGUCGGAGAGACAGACAGCAAGGUUUAUACAAAUCUCCGCUGUUGAAAACAAAAUGUUAGUCUAAAAAAAAUGUGAGAUCAUGUCUAGAUGCUUUUUAUAGUGGAGAUCAAGUUUAUAAAGUGCCUGGCUCAGUUGAUGAGACAGUGGAUUGAUGGAACCGAGUCAUUUUAACUUCAUAGAUUUAGCCGGUGGUAAUUUGUGGAAUAGACACCGGUUGGAAUGCCAAUCAGCAUUCAGGAUUAGACCCACACGUUGUGUAACAACUGACCUUUGCCUUUUCCCAUGAUGAUGGAUGACAAAAAGAUGUGUCAUGCGUGUUAAGAUGAGAGGAGAGUACCUGUGCUCGUCCUUCCGAGCCUACCUGCGGAGCUACACCUGUGCCUUACUGAACAGCGG